rnacentral:rRNA from 1 species
AUUUUUAAGAGUUUGAUUCUGGCUCAAAAAUAACGUUCGCGGAAUGUAUAAGCCAUGCAAGUCGAACGAAAAAAGGUAGCAAUACCUUUUUUAGUGGCGCACGAGUUAGUAAAGCAUAGGUUAUCUGCCGUUUGGUUCGGAAUAUAAUAGGGAAAUCUAUUGCAAUACCGGAUAUGUAUUUGUAAAUUCGUUUACAAAUAUAAAAGAGGCCUUGAGGUUCGCAAGAAUCUUUGGUUUCGCCAGAUGAUGAGCCUAUGUCGUAUUAGUUAGUUGGUGUGGUAAUGGCACACCAAGACUAUGAUGCGUAGCUAGCCUGAGAGGGUGUUUAGCAACUGUGACACUGAGAUACGGGUCACACUCCUACGGGGGGCUGCAGGCGAGAAACAUCUGCAAUGGGGGAAACCCUGACAGUGCGAUUCCGCGUGCCGGAUGAAGGUCUAAGGAUCGUAAACGGCUGUUUUAAAGGAAGAAGAGCAAUUGUAACAAAAUGCAAUUGCUUUGACAAUAAUUUAAAAGAAAGUCACGACUAACGGCGUGCCAGCAGUCGCGGUAAUACGUCGGUGGCUAACGUUUUUUGUAAUUACUGGGCGUAAAGGAUGCGUAGGCGGUUUUUUAAGUUUAUAGUGAAAUCUUAGAGCUUAACUCUAUUGAGCUAUAAAAACUGAAAAACUAGAGAACAAGGGGGAAAAAUAGAAUUAUGCAAGUAGAGAUGAAAUUCGUAGAUAUGCAUAAGAAUACCAGAGGCGAAGGCGAUUUUUUACUUUGAUUCUGACGUUGAGGCAUGAAAGUCUGGGGAGCGACGAGGAUUAGAUACCCUCUUAGUCCAGACCGUAAACGAUGAUAACUAGGCAUUUUUUAAAAAAGUGUUCACAGCUAACGCGCAAGUUAUCCGCCUGAAGAGUACAGCCGCAAGGCAGAAACUCAAAGAAAUUGACGGGGGCCAAAACAAGUUGUGGAUUAUGUGGUUUAAUUCGAAGCAACGCGCAAUACCUUACCAGUUCUUAACAAAUGCGAUAAAUGGUCCAGAGAUGGAC